GACGUAGGGGGCCAGCGUUGUUCGGAAUUACUGGGUGUAAAGGGUUCGUAGGCGGUGUGGCAAGUCGGGUGUGAAAUCUCGGGGCUUAACUCCGAAACUGCAUUCGAUACUGCCGUGCUUGAGGACUGGAGAGGAGACUGGAAUUUACGGUGUAGCGGUGAAAUGCGUAGAUAUCGUAAGGAAGACCAGUGGCGAAGGCGGGUCUCUGGACAGUUCCUGACGCUGAGGCACGAAGGCCAGGGGAGCAAACGGG
rnacentral:rRNA from 1 species